rnacentral:rRNA from 1 species
CCAGACUCCUACGGGAGGCAGCAGUGGGGAAUAUUGCACAAUGGGGGAAACCCUGAUGCAGCAACGCCGCGUGGGUGAAGGAGCGUUUCGGCGCGUAAAGCCCUGUCAGCGGGGAAGAAGAAAGACGGUACCCGACCAAGAAGCCCCGGCUAACUACGUGCCAGCAGCCGCGGUAAUACGUAGGGGGCGAGCGUUAUCCGGAAUUACUGGGUGUAAAGGGAGCGUAGACGGCGAGACAAGUCUGGAGUGAAAGGCCGGGGCCCAACCCCGGGACUGCUCUGGAAACUGCCUGGCUGGAGUACAGGAGAGGUAAGUGGAAUUCCUAGUGUAGCGGUGAAAUGCGUAGAUAUUAGGAGGAACACCGGCGGCGAAGGCGGCCUGCUGGACUGAAACUGACGUUGAGGCUCGAAAGCGUGGGGAGCAAACAGGAUUAGAUACCCUAGUA